UCUGUAACCUACUAACCUCAUCAUUAAUUUUUCGUGUUGGAUGAAAUUUUUAUUUUCUAUAAAUUUAGGCCCAUUCAUUGUUUUAUACAUCUGUAGAACAUUUCAAAUCCUGUUUGUUUUCUUGCAAUAUGGAUGGAUCCUCUAUUCCAAGAAUAAGGACUAGACAACAAUUUUUAAAAUACUGUGUGAAUUUUAUUGAAAAGAGGAACAAGUCCACUCAAAAUGUAAGGAAAAAACCUAAGUUGGAAGAAAAGAAUACAAAAAUGGGUAAAAUGAAGAAGGUGGUAAGUGGUAAGUCGACUGAAAAUAGUAGUCACUCUUGUACUGAUGUGAGUUGUGGGUUGAAAGGAAAAAAGACAUGUUCUGGGAGAGGUGAAAAGGCAAAAAUGGGAAAAAAGGUGGAGAGUAGUAAGAAGAAGUUCACUUGUAAGUCCAUCCACGAAACAUCUAAUCCUUCGCCUGAUGAUGUUGAGAAAUUGGAACAUGAUACAAUUGAAUCUGACGACGACGAUUAAUAAUAAGUUGGAAAAAUAGGGCGAAGAAGGAGAUUCAGUUUUGUCUUUGUUUUUUUGGCUCUACAAAAAUGAAUUAUGGAUCAACUCGGAUUAAUUAAUAUUUGGGCUCUUGUACUAUUUUCAUUUUCAUCACUUCGAUAUUGUAAUAUCGGUUUUAAUAUAUUCACCUACUUCUCUAUUUUCU